UUUGUAGGAAGGCCCGUUCAACUUUGAAUUCUCUUUGCAUCAAUGGCCGUUGUCUUGUCUCUUUCAAGGUUUACACAAUCCAGCUUUUUGAUUUUUUUUAUUGCAUCAACCAUGGACAAUAAUAUAAUGUUGUAUUAGAGUUGUAAAACUUGGAGAUAUAUAAGCUCAUCGUGUAUCAAACUGCAUUAAUGGCGCAGUUAUGGUUACCAUAAAUUACACAGUAAUAAAAGUAACACAACAGUUUUUGCAAUUGUUGCAAUAACUAUGUCCUUUGUGUCAUGGUGUAGUGUAAUUCUGUACCAUGACCAGAAGAGGGCAGUAAACUAUUUUAAAUGAAUCAUAAAAAUUGAAGAAUACUGAGACAAAACAACCUCAUUCUAAGGAUUUUAUUAUAAGACUCGUGAACAUUUAAACAUCAUGAAUAUCUUUCAGCAACCACAUUACCCAAUUUAAUUGAAAAUCUCUU